GUCCCUUAACCAGCUGAGAGCUAAAGGGUCGGGGCCUGAGGGACGGAAGAGAGAGGGGAAGAUGAAGAAAAUCGGUGAUGAAUGGCUGGCGGAUAUGAUUGGCGGAAAGAAAGAGCCAGUCCACAGUGCGCCUUUGCAUGCGGCGGGAAACCCGGCCGAAGACUAAGCUGGAAAGGACUCCGGCAUAUGAAUGGACAAUAAGAUUUCUUGGAUAUUUUCAUGGCGAAGGAUAAGAGUGAAGCUAUCCUGGCCAAGAACUUUGAGAGAGACACCACUUUUCACUCUGAAGGACCAAAAAAUGAGUAGAAAAUUUGGAAUAAAUGUCAACAAGAUUUGAACCCUAAAGAAAAACAAGCAUCUGAAUUAGACAGACGUCCAUAUUCAUUCAGCUGGGAAACUAAAACUGUGCAGUCCCAAUAUCAGAAUUUCCUUGGUCAGUUGGCUACUGUGUGACAGUAUUCUUCUGCAUGACGGCAUUGUCUCUCUACC